rnacentral:rRNA from 1 species
CUACGGGAUGCUGCAGUGAGGAAUAUUGGUCAAUGGACGAGAGUCUGAACCAGCCAUCCCGCGUGCAGGAUGACGGCCCUAUGGGUUGUAAACUGCUUUUCUAUACCAAGAAAUCUGUCUACGUGUAGACAGUUGCCGGUAGUAUAGGAAUAAGCAUCGGCUAACUCCGUGCCAGCAGCCGCGGUAAUACGGAGGAUGCAAGCGUUAUCCGGAUUCAUUGGGUUUAAAGGGUGCGCAGGCGGGCUUGUAAGUCAGUGGUGAAAUGCUGCCGCUUAACGGUAGAACUGCCAUUGAUACUGCAAGUCUUGAAUAUGGUUGAGGUAGGCGGAAUGUGUUGUGUAGCGGUGAAAUGCAUAGAUAUGACACAGGACGCCGAUUGCGAAGGCAGCUUACUAAGCCAUAAUUGACGCUGAGGCACGAAAGCGUGGGGAGCGAACAGGAUUAGAUACCCGCGUAGUC